AAGAGCGCAUGGUGGAUGCCUUGGUAUCAGGAGCCGAUGAAGGACGUGGUGACCUGCGAUAAGCCUCGGGGAGUUGGUGAACGGACGGUGAUCCGAGGGUGUCCGAAUGGGGUAACCCCGCUGCAUGUGAUGUGUGGUGACCUGCCAUUGAAUGUAU
rnacentral:sRNA from 1 species